AUUUGGAGAGGAUGCUUUUGGCGCGGCGCCGUCCGAGUUCCCUGGAACGGGACGCCACAGAGGGUGAGAGCCCCGUACGGUCGGACGCCCAGCCAGUGUAAAGCUCCUUCGACGAGUCGAGUAGUUUGGGAAUGCUGCUCAAAAUGGGAGGUAAAUUUCUUCUAAAGCUAAAUACCGGCCAGAGACCGAUAGCGCACAAGUAGAGUGAUCGAAAGAUGAAAAGCACCUUGAAAAGAGGGUUAAACAGUACGUGAAAUUGUUGAAAGGGAAGCGCCUGCGACCAGACUUGCGCCCAGCGGACCACCCGGCGUUCUCGCCGGUGCACUCCGCGGGGCGCAGGCCAGCAUCGGCUUCCCCAGGGGGACAAAGGCCGCGGGAACGUAGCUCCUCCGGGAGUGUUAUAGCCCGCGGCGCCAUGCCCCUGGGGGGGCCGAGGACCGCGCUUCGGCAAGGAUGCUGGCGUAAUGGUCGUCGGCGACCCGUCUUGAAACACGGACCAAGGAGUCAAGCAUUGGGGCGAGUGUCUGGGUGCCAAACCCGCACGCGAAAUGAAAGUAAACGCAGGUGAGAGCUUCGGCGCAUCAUCGACCGAUCCUGAUGUCUUCGGAUGGAUUUGAGUAAGAGCCUUACCGCUUGGACCCGAAAGAUGGUGAACUAUGCCUGUAUAGGGUGAAGCCAGAGGAAACUCUGGUGGAGG
rnacentral:rRNA from 1 species